rnacentral:rRNA from 1 species
GGGAAGGUGAGUGGAGAGUGUUCGUGGAGCGUAAGAUGGUAGCUUGCUCCCUGAUGUUUGCGACGGACGGGGGAGAAAUUAUUGGGGGACCUGCCUGUAAGACUGGGAUAACUCCGGGAAACCGGGGCUAAUACCGGAUGCUUGAUUGAACCGCAUGGUUCAAUUAUAAAAGGUGGCUUUUAGCUACCACUUACAGAUGGACCCGCGGCGCAUUAGCUAGUUGGUGAGGUAACGGCUCACCAAGGCAACGAUGCGUAGCCGACCUGAGAGGGUGAUCGGCCACACUGGGACUGAGACACGGCCCAGACUCCUACGGGAGGCAGCAGUAGGGAAUCUUCCGCAAUGGACGAAAGUCUGACGGAGCAACGCCGCGUGAGUGAUGAAGGUUUUCGGAUCGUAAAACUCUGUUGUUAGGGAAGAACAAGUACCGUUCGAAUAGGGCGGUACCUUGACGGUACCUAACCAGAAAGCCACGGCUAACUACGUGCCAGCAGCCGCGCUAAUACGUAGGUGGCAAGCGUUGUCCGGAAUUAUUGGGCGUAAAGCGCGCGCAGGCGGCUUCUUACGUCUGAUGUGAAAGCCUCCGGCUCAGCCGAGGAGGUCAUUAAUAAACUGGGAACUUGAGUGCAGAGAGAGAGUGAAUUCGACGUGUAGCGAUGAGAUGCGUAGAGAUGUGAGCACACUAGUGACGAAGGCGACUCUCUGUCUGUACUGACGCUGAGCGCGAAGCGUGAGAGCGACAGAUAGAUACGUGUAGUCACGCGUAGACGAUGAGUGCUAGUGUAGAGCUCGUCAUCAGUGCUGCAGCAACGCAUAGCACUCGCUGAGUAGUACGUCGCAGACUGAACUCAAGUAUGACGGCUGCACAGCGUGAGCAUGUGAUAUCGAGCACCGAGAUCUACAGUCUGACAUCUCGACAUCUAGGACGCCUCAUCGACAGUGACGGGAGCAUGAUGCGUCAGUCAGUCCGAGUCGAUAGUCGAACAGCUAUCUGACUCACUGCAGAUCAUGUACUGAGUAUGC